rnacentral:rRNA from 1 species
CUGCGGAGGACAUUAAAGUAUCUUUCGGUUGCCUGCGCUUUAACUAGCGCGGCGAUCAAACCUUACACACAGUGCUUAGUUUUUUCUAACAUUGCUUUGGCUUGGAGGCAACUCCGGGCCAGAGGUAUUAAAACACAUAGAUUUUUUUAAUCUUUUUUUACAAACCUUUAGUCAAGAAGUUUUUAUAAACAAAUCUUCAAAACUUUCAACAACGGAUCUCUUGGUUCUCGCAACGAUGAAGAACGCAGCGAAAUGCGAUACGUAAUGUGAAUUGCAGGUUUUCGUGAAUCAUCGAAUCUUUGAACGCAUAUUGCGCCCUCUGGUAUUCCGGAGGGCAUGCCUGUUUGAGCGUCAUUUCUCUCUCAAACCCUCGGGUUUGGUAUUGAGUGGUACUCAGUUACAUGGGUUAACUUGAAAUAGUGUGGCAAGAGCUGCAUGUGCAGAUCUCCUCUGAACUAACGUUUCUAGGUUCUACCAAAUUCGUUAUGGGCAGUUGAAGUGUGUGCUUGCUUUAGGCUCGGCCUUUACAAUAUCUUCUAUAAGUUUGACCUCAAAUCAGGUAGGAAUACCCGCUGAACUUAAGCAUAUCAAUA